AGUGAACGCUGGCGGCAGGCCUAACACAUGCAAGUCGAGCGGCAGCGGGUCCUUCGGGAUGCCGGCGAGCGGCGGACGGGUGAGGAAUGCAUCGGAAUCUGCCCUGUCGUGGGGGAUAACCUAGGGAAACUUAGGCUAAUACCGCAUACGACCCACGGGUGAAAGCGGGGGAUCGCAAGACCUCGCGCGAUAGGAUGAGCCGAUGUCCGAUUAGCUAGUUGGCGGGGUAAAGGCCCACCAAGGCGACGAUCGGUAGCUGGUCUGAGAGGAUGAUCAGCCACACUGGGACUGAGACACGGCCCAGACUCCUACGGGAGGCAGCAGUGGGGAAUAUUGGACAAUGGGCGCAAGCCGGAUCCAGCCAUGCCGCGUGGGUGAAGAAGGCCUUCGGGUUGUAAAGCCCUUUUGUCCGGGAAGAAAGCGUCUGGGCUAAUACCCCGGGCGGAUGACGGGACCGGAAGAAUAAGCACCGGCUAACUUCG
rnacentral:rRNA from 1 species